GGCGGCGUGCCUAAUACAUGCAAGUCGAACGCUUCUUUUUCCACCGGAGCUUGCUCCACCGGAAAAAGAGGAGUGGCGAACGGGUGAGUAACACGUGGGUAACCUGCCCAUCAGAAGGGGAUAACACUUGGAAACAGGUGCUAAUACCGUAUAACAAUCAAAACCGCAUGGUUUUGAUUUGAAAGGCGCUUUCGGGUGUCGCUGAUGGAUGGACCCGCGGUGCAUUAGCUAGUUGGUGAGGUAACGGCUCACCAAGGCCACGAUGCAUAGCCGACCUGAGAGGGUGAUCGGCCACAUUGGGACUGAGACACGGCCCAAACUCCUACGGGAGGCAGCAGUAGGGAAUCUUCGGCAAUGGACGAAAGUCUGACCGAGCAACGCCGCGUGAGUGAAGAAGGUUUUCGGAUCGUAAAACUCUGUUGUUAGAGAAGAACAAGGAUGAGAGUAACUGUUCAUCCCUUGACGGUAUCUAACCAGAAAGCCACGGCUAACUACGUGCCAGCAGCCGCGGUAAUACGUAGGUGGCAAGCGUUGUCCGGAUUUAUUGGGCGUAAAGCGAGCGCAGGCGGUUUCUUAAGUCUGAUGUGAAAGCCCCCGGCUCAACCGGGGAGGGUCAUUGGAAACUGGGAGACUUGAGUGCAGAAGAGGAGAGUGGAAUUCCAUGUGUAGCGGUGAAAUGCGUAGAUAUAUGGAGGAACACCAGUGGCGAAGGCGGCUCUCUGGUCUGUAACUGACGCUGAGGCUCGAAAGCGUGGGGAGCAAACAGGAUUAGAUACCCUGGUAGUCCACGCCGUAAACGAUGAGUGCUAAGUGUUGGAGGGUUUCCGCCCUUCAGUGCUGCAGCUAACGCAUUAAGCACUCCGCCUGGGGAGUACGACCGCAAGGUUGAAACUCAAAGGAAUUGACGGGGGCCCGCACAAGCGGUGGAGCAUGUGGUUUAAUUCGAAGCAACGCGAAGAACCUUACCAG
rnacentral:rRNA from 1 species